ACCCAGGGAUUGAACCUGAGUCUCCUGCAUUGUAAGCAGACACUUUACCGUCUGAGCCACCAUGGAAGUCCGAGCUACCAGGGAAGUCCGAGCCACCAGCGAAGUCCGAGAUAUGCAAAGCCAGGUUCUUCACAAGGAAACGGAAUCUUAAAGUGGGGGCAUCCUCUUCUUGAUUAAUACCAAUUAAUCAAGGCAAUGAUAAAGGAUGCCACAGGCUGAUUAGGACAUUCACGAA